ACGUGUUUCCUGACGUGGACGGUGCCUUGGCGCUCCCCCCACCCUCCUCUCUCUCUGCAAAAGCCGAGCUUUCCCUCCGUUCCCAGAGCGAGAAAAUUGAGAGAAAGAGAAAGAGAAUGUCGAGGUUGGGAAGCUAGGUUCGAGAUAGCUGAGGAUUGAAGCUCUUGAUUUCGUCCGUGUUUUUUUUUUUUUUUAACCUUGAUUUUUCGAGCGGAGGAGAGAUUUCUCGGGGGCGUGCUAUGAUAGGAGAGUUGCAGAGGAGAAAAUAGGGACAAGCGAUUUUUCUUGCACCGUCUCUCAAUCAAUUGAGAGCUUCUUGUUUGGUGCUUAAAGAUGGGAAACAGUGAAGAAGUGAAGCCUUCUAAUUCCGAGAAAUUAUCUUCACCUGCACCGGAUCAGACAAAUGUUCAUGUGUAUCCUGAUUGGACCGCCAUGCAGGCAUAUUAUGGCGCCAGAGUUGCUCUACCACCAUACUAUAAUUCAUCUGUGGCAUCAGGUCAUGCUCCUCACCCUUAUGUGUGGGGUCCUCCACAGCCAAUGAUGCCAUCUUAUGGGGCACCCUACGCAGCAUUGUACUCGCACGGCAUCUAUCCACAUCCUGCAGUUCCUCUUGUUGCAACCACUUCGAACAUCGAAACACCUGGGAAAUCAUCAGCAAAUACAGACAGAGGUUUAAUGAAGAAGUUGAAAGGGUUUGAUGGGCUGGCAAUGUCAAUUGGCAAUGGUAGUAGCCAUAGUGCUGAUGGUGGCGCUGACCAUAGGGUGUCACAGAGUGUGAACAGUGGAGAGACUGAAGGUUCCAGUGAUGGAAGCGAUGGGAAUACAGCAAGGGCUGGUGAGGCUGGAAGGAAAAGAAGCCGGGAGGGUACUCCAACAAUUGCAGGUGGAGAAGGAAAAGCUGAAACACAGACCAGUCUGGUGCCUGCUGGGGAGACAAAUGCAGCUACCGAUAAGGUUUUGGGUAUCAGUGUUGCUUCUGCUAGUGCCACUGGUAAACUUGGAGGAACUGUACUUUCUCCUAGUAUGACCACAACAUUGGAGCUUAGGAACCCUGUAAGCGUGAAUGCAAAAACAAGUCCAACUAGUCUGCCACAAGGACCACAACUUUGUGCAGUGUUUCCUUCUGAAGCCUUGUUACAAAAUGAACGAGAGCUGAAAAGGGAGAGGAGGAAACAAUCCAAUCGAGAAUCUGCUCGACGGUCACGGUUGAGGAAGCAGGCGGAGACCGAGGAACUUGCAAUGAAAGUUGAAGCAUUGGGUGCUGAAAAUGUUGUGCUUAAAUCAGAAAUAAAUAGGUUAACACAGAGUUCUGAGAAAUUGAGGCUUGAAAAUGCUACAUUAAUGGAAAAACUGAAAAAUGUACAAAUAGGAGGAACAGAAGGAAUGCUUUUUAGCAAGGCUGACAAUAAUAGAGCACCACCUAUCAGCACAGAAAACCUAUUGUCAAGAGUAAGCAAUUCAGGCUGUGUUGAUAGAAACCCCGAGCAUGAGGGUGAUGCAUAUGAGAAAAGCUCAAACUCUGGGGCUAAGCUCCGCCAACUUUUGGAUGCAAAUCCUAGGGCUAAUGCUGUUGUAGCUGGCUGAUGAAGGAAGGUGCAAUACUUUUGCCUCCUGUUAUAUUAAAAUUUAAGGUGAAUAGGAUGGGGUAUUCAUGCAAAGUACUAAUUUUAACAAGUUCUGAGUUAGCUCUCUCAUGGCGGAACUGAUGUAUUUUAUCAAAUAUCAGAUUGCUGUGAUCGCCAGAUAAAGUAGUGUACAUUGAAGAGAAUUAGGCAACAGAGUAGGGAAGGAACUACUUGACCAGCAGAGGAGCUGAUCGACACUGUCAUGUGCGUGCAAUGCUGGAUUUUAAGAAAAAAAUAAUUUUUAUUUUAGAAGGAAAAUUUGCUAUUGAAGAUGAAAAUAAUUUUAAAGAAAUUUGGAGUUUAAAAAAAAUAGAUGUGAUUUGUUAAGUUGGUUUGUGAAUCAUAGAAAAUGCAUUUGGGAGGUCUAUUGUGCGUGCUGGAGGUGAUAUUGAUGAAUCAAUAUGAAUCAAUACCUUCAUCGUCAGUUGUUUGGUUAACUUAGAGAAGUGGAGAAUUUUAAAAAAAAAUAAAAGAUGCAAAUAAAUAAAUAGAGACGAGGUAGAAAUUUAUAUGGUUUCGCUAUGUCUAUUUUAUGGGUGGAUGGAAUCAAAAUUUUAUUAUCAUGCGAGAAAGUAUAAUAUGAUAUGGAAUCAGCCGAUAUAUAUCUCUCAUUUUUUUUUGUUUUAAUAUACUCUACUUAUUUCAAGAAUGCAAGUGAGUAUUUAAGCAUGUAAUAUUUAUACAAGCAUGCAAAGAUAUGUUUAACAAAUGUGAGGGGUAGGAUGUCCUUUUAUAGGGAAAUAUGGAUACCAUAGGAUGGAAAAUCAAAGUGGUUGAAGAUGGGAUGACAUCCAUAUUUCUCAUAACCCAUUAUACACUCCCUUCGAUGUCACUCAUAUAUUAAUUAUUUAUGUUAAUAUCUUUAAAGUGUCUCAUUCUAAUGAGAUGAAUCAAUUUCUUGAAUGUUGUAACAGGUAAAGUUUUGGUGAACAAAUUUGUUAGAUUAUCCCUUGAUCGAAUCUGCUGAACAUUUAUAUCAUUAUUUUUUUGGAGUUCAUAUGUAUAGAAGAAUUUUGAAAAGAUAUGUUUUGUUCUGUCACUAUUUAUGUAUCAUCUUCUUAGUUGAGCUAAACAUGCAGUGUUGUCUUCAUAUCAAAUUGUUGGAAUAUUCUUGAUUGAUUGAA